GUCUUAAACUCACUCUGAGAUCUUCACUGUGGAUCUUUAUUUCUAUUCAGAUUCUGGAUAUUUCUACAUCUCCAUUCAUCACAGUCUCUGGUGAUCCAGACGGAGCAGUGAAGAGUCGUUCUGAUCAAUCAGAGAAAACAUCAUACUUCACUUUCAGUUAGAAUCAGGAGAAAUACAUAUUCAGUGUAGAAAUGAAAUAAUGCACAGAGAAAACAGCUGGAGCGUCAGAAACUACAGACGAGUAAAAACCAACAGGACAGAGAGAGAAAUGAAGAUCAGAAAUAAAACACAAACCGCUGGAUCUCAAGAGAAAAGCAGACGGAGACUUGAUAGAUGGGACAGUAUGAAGAUAAUACAACCAAACUUCUCAGAUGAUCCAGACGGGCCUGAAAAGAUUAUUUCAGAUGAUCUCAAGAACACAACACACCAGCAGCUGAAGACUGAGCAUCAUCUUCAUCAUCAUCAUCAUCAUCAUCAUCAUCAUCAUCACUCAGUUCAGCUCCUGGUCUCUUUCAGUGUUUACAGACUCAUUCCCUUCCAUCAGUGACUCUGUGUCUUCAGUUCACAUCUACAGGUCAUCAUCAGAAUCACAGCAGAGUUAAAAAUCUACAAAUAUAUGUGGCCAGAGGUAUAAAGACAGCAUGUUAAAACACAUAAAACUCAGUAUAUGGCCCCAUUAAGAGAUCGCCGAUCUCUGCUCGUGAGAUUUCCUGUUUGCAUGUGCGUGAACAGAACAGUCAUUUUGUGAUAAUCUGAUGUAGCAGCUGAGUGACAUGUCAUUGUGUUGGUGUCGGGGAGAUUUAUUCUGAAGUGAUGCUGUCUUUCUGUGUGAUCCGCAUGAACCUCGUGUCGGGGGAUAGUGGAAAUUUCCAGUGUAAUGUUCAGUAUUUUCUAUUCUUGUGUUAGCAUCUGGAAUUGUACAAAUACUAUCAGUGUUGUUAAAACUCGUGUUUUAAUGUUUAACAAUGUGAAAUCCCAGCUGGUCUCUCAUUCCCUUCCAUCAGUGACUGAGUGACAUGAAAAAAAGGAAAUGAAAGGACGUUCUGUGUGACCUGAAUGAAACAAAAACAGGAACAUACAAACUCACACAAAAGCCACGAGUAAACCAGGGGCCUGUUCUUCAUACCUCGCUAACUAUGAUAGCUGAAUUUGAUUGUUGAUGAUUUGACAUGAUCUUAAAAUCAGUUCAGACAGGAACCACUUUGGCAAAUUUACUUGAGUUUAUUGAACACAAUUUAUCUUUGGUGGU